rnacentral:rRNA from 1 species
UGUAUGCUAGAGUAUGGUAUUACAGGGGAAAGUUUUUUUAAAUUUAAUAAUUGAAGUUAUUUUAAUUUGUGAAGAAACAAUUAUAUAAAUUAAAGACAAGAAGACCCUAAGAAUUUAAGAAUUUUUAUUAAUAUAUUAUAUGUAUAUAUAUAUAAAUAAAAUUCUUAGUUGGGGCAACUAAAAAAUAUAUUAAACUUUUUUUUUAAAAAAAUGAUCCAUUAUUAA